GCCAGAAACGCCACAGACUUGUUGCAAGUUGUCAAAUUUACCGGCUUGUUGCAACUUGUCAACAAGUUGCAACAAGCUUGUUAAUUUCAUCAAGUUGCAACAAGCUUGUUAAAAUCAGGCUUGUUGCAACCUGUCAUUUACAGACUUGUUGCAACUUGUUGAAACAACUUGCAGCAAGCCUGUGGAUAACAAGUCUUAACAAGCUGUUAUAACAAUUUGCAACAAGCUUGUUGAAUCAACAAUGCUGUUGCAAGUUGUUAAAACAGACUUGUUGCAAGUUGAUAUUAUCAAGCCAGCAUCAAGUUGUUGGAACAACUUGUAACAAGCUUGUUGAUGACAAGAUUUAA